GGUGGCCGUCCUCCUCCUUGGCGUUGUAGCUUGACGCCAUCAUGGUCGCAAUCCACUCCGAGCACGGUAAUCCACUUCGGUUCGACAGGCGACGGUCCCUCGGCAAUGUCACACGGUGGACCACUGACACAACGUCCAGUCUCAGCCCGUGACUCCAGCUUCACUCCACCAGACAUCCCCAGGGAUCCCAGCACAGCCUUUCCUGUCUUCAGGCUCUUGGACAUUGGGAUGCGGGUCAGCCCUGUGCGAGGUGGCUGGGCAUCGUGCCCGGUCUGAAUAGGGAGAGAGAGACAGAGUACAGUUUCUCAGGCAGGGGAAUGAAGACAGGGAGCACUUGAGGGGAACAUAAAGAAUAAAUAAAGGAAAAACCCCAUAACAAGAAAAGAGAGGUUGGUGAAGUCGUCGCUCUUGUUCAUGUAGUCGACGUGCUUGCGUUUCUCCGUGACCAGCUCCUGAACGGUGCGACGGUGGCACUUUUCGGCGAGCAGCAACUGGCCCAGCAUCCGCCCGUACGUGUCCCUGUGCUUCUCCUGCAGACGAUCCAGCUGACGCACACAGACACAGGAAAAUGUCUGAGGUGUAAUAUGCAAAACACUUUUGUGAAAGAUAUUUCACAUUAACCUCUUCCCCUUUGAAAAUAUCUGCACAGCUAACUGCAAUGUAACUGACAAAGAAAGCCUUUUCUUUUAAUUCCAACAUAUUUUUGGCUUAACUUUUGACUUUUACAAUUACCAACACUUUCUCAUAUAUUUUCAGAGCUCAGAUCUCUUCAUUAAUGUUUCUCUCAUCACUUCACUGUAACUGUCUUUUGUGGUUUUACCUGCCUUCGCGACCCAGUAAUAAAAAAUGUAAACAUU